AGAGGGCGCACUAUUAGCAACGUUUUUGAAGCGUUUCGUGUAGCCGUACCGUGUGGUCGCCGCGUUUGCUCAAUUAUAAAAAGGAUUCACCAUGAACGUACCACCAAAUCAGACGAUUUACAUCAACAAUCUAAAUGAAAAGAUUAAAAAAGAUGAGUUGAAGAAGUCUCUCUAUGCCAUCUUCUCCCAGUUUGGUCAGAUCCUUGACAUUGUCGCCUUGAAAACCCUCAAGAUGAGGGGGCAGGCAUUUGUUGUCUUCAAGGACAUCAACAGCGCCACCAACGCCCUCAGAUCGAUGCAGGGCUUUCCAUUUUAUGAGAAACCAAUGAGAAUACAGUACGCCAAGUCCCAGUCGGAUGCGGUGGCAAAGCUGCAAGGCACCUAUGUCCCCCGAGAAAAGAGGCCAGAAAAGAGGAAGCCCGACCCUACCCCUGCUCAAUCCAAAAAGAGCAAGAAGCAGGCGGCCAAUGCAAACCAGGCCCCUCCGCCCAUGAUGGGCCAGAUGCCCCCGACCAUGAUGGGGCAGCCCCCGCCCAUGCAGAUGCAGCAGCCACCAGCUAUGCCUCUACCAGAUCAGCCAAACGCCAUCCUUUUCCUGACGAAUCUACCAGAAGAAACCAAUGAGCAGAUGCUGAAGAUGCUCUUCACACAGUUUCAGGGAUUCAAAGAGGUGCGACUGGUACCCGGCCGUCACGACAUCGCCUUUGUGGAGUUUGAGAAUGAGACGCAAUCCGGAAUCGCCAAGGAUGCCCUGCAGGGCUUCAAGAUCACCCCUACGGCAGCCAUGAAAAUCUCCUAUGCCAAGAAAUAAAAGAAAUUAACUGCAAUUUGACCUGCCCAGAAUGUUCAUCGGUACCCAGAUUGAAUUCAGCCUUGAAAAUGAUGUCACAAUACAUGUUUUCUCACACUUCAAAUCUGCGCAUGCAAGAUGACCUAGGAGUCCGAAGGCCCUCAACUUGCGAGCCUUCGUUACUUUUACCUGACAGUUGCGGCUUUUAGAAUAAAAAGGUGAAUAUCUUGGAUUGCAUGUAGAAUGGUGAUCCUGAACGUUUUUCAUGUUUUGUUUGUUUUCGGAGGUAUGUUUGAAAUCAUGAAUAGAAAAUGUACAUUUUACUGUUCAAAGCAACGCUCCUUUCCAAAGACUUGUUAUACACCAAGCUGACUUCAACUUCAGACAUGUUGAGUUCUAACUGCUUUUUGAAAAUCAGAUUAGCACUUUUCAUAUAGAUUUGGAACAAAGAACUCUACAAUCCUGGAAUGACUUGGGCUUUUUUAUCUUGAAGAAGUGGCCCUCGUAGCUUGGGCGCAUGUGCAUUCUGACGUGCUGUUUUCCGGUUGUCGAUGCGUCAUUGCACACACCGUGCAUCGACAAUCGUCUUGUUGCAGAUUGGCCAGCGUGGUUCAGUGCUGCUUCGUCAGGUGGUUGCCGCGGUAGUCAUGACUGACGUCAAAAAGAUUUGAGUUCAUGCAGAGGUGUGUUAUCUGGGGAAGCGAAAGAUUCAGUGGGGAGAAUUCAUCAUCAGGGUGCGAUAUUGUCUGGAAGAGAUACGUUCCCAUGUGUCAGUUUCACAAAUCGCACAACCGUGAUAGAUACGUAAGGUCCUAAUACACAUGUAGGUGUAUUAUUGAGAAGGUAUCUGUCCUCUGCACGGUAAGUCUGUUGAGCUGGCACAGUGGUGACGAUGGGGCAGCAAAAUUUGCUUUGGAUAUCAACGUGGUCAAGCAGGGUUCCCAAAGUCACGGAAAAUCCUGUAAAGAAGCCCUUGGAAAAACAUCUGGAAAGGCAUGGAAAAUUGGGGACAAAAGGUGUCCUGUAGAAUCCUGUUGCCGGCGGAAACAGGUCACGACAUGGUCUCGGAAAUCGAGGUCGUGCAAGGGUUCUUUUUUAUGAGUUUUAAUUUUAAUAGAUUUACAGGAUAUUUCUUUGUCAAUGUAUACACAUACUUUUGUGGCUACACGACAGUCUUCCUGUUUGUAAUGCCUAACUUUUUUCCGCGUAGUGGUGUUGAAUGUCAUGGAAGCUGCCAUAUUGUAAGUCCUAGAAAAGUGGAAUUUGGUUUUCAGAUGUUUUGAGGAAACCUCGUCAAGGAUUGGACCACGAAGUAUGCUGUUCAGAAAGUGAAGUACAUUAAACUACCCACUCCGAGUGUAGUUCACAGGGAGCGGCAUGGCAAAGACAGCCAUGACUUUAGAUACAGUUUACUGAUACACGUUUUUGAUCAUAAGAUUUGUUCACCGCCAGUAACGGCGAAUAAUGUUUGCCCUUCACUACGGUUUCAAUGCAAGGAUGAUAUAUGCAUGUGCAGCUUUCAUACUGGAAAAAAAAUCUAGAAAGCAAGUUGAAGAAGACAGUACACGCGCAUAAUAUGCCGAGUUUGAGUUUCUUUGUCAUUUGAACAGCGGUUUUGGUUUUGUCUGAUUUUCCCUUGUGUUGGUCUAGAGCCGUAUUCACAGAGUUACGUCACAGAGUUCUGUGAACACAGCCUGUCGUUCAGUUCUGUUAAGUACCUGUCAUUUUAACAUUAGCAACGAUAUUUCAGAACUUGGGAUGCUUAUUGUUGCGUUCAAAAUUUAUAUUGUAGUUGUUUAAAUCAAGUUAUCAUUCCAUUUGAUGUGAAGUGUUUUAGUAAGAAAUUGUCAUACAUUGUUAAAGCAAAAACCAGGACAAUUUUUGAAAUAAAAAAACUGUCGUUGACUUUGUA
rnacentral:misc_RNA from 1 species